AUUAUCUCCAGGUGCCAUUGAUCAUCAGGUGGUUCCUUCUGUUAAAACGCCUGCCUCCACCAGCUCUAUCCAGUUGGGCACCCCACUGUGCCGGCCAUUCACGGGACCUGGGGUCCAUGAGAGGUCAUCCUAUCAUUUGAUCCCAGAGUUCCGUGGGGCUCGUGCACAGUGGAAUUUCACUGACCAUUUGGUCAAACCCAACGGUUUCAAGGCUCCCCCUCAGCUCCCCUAUAUAAGCCUGACCCACCGCUGGCCAGUGUGUGGGUCAAUAGAAGCUGGAGAGGAGCAUUCUCAUCAAGGAGUAAACGGACAAUCCAUUAUCAAGGACAUUCACUUUCGUCUUGCCGUGCGUCUUUGUGAAUGUGAGUGUUUGUAUAUAGUAUAUGUGUGGUUUAGCGAGUUAGUCUGUUAAUGUUAGUGUAGAUAAUAUCUGUUAGUCAUUUAGGAUAUUAAUCAUUCACUGUCUUGGGUAUUUCACUCCGUUACUGCUAAUUCACGUGAAUGUUAGUAACGGAGAUAAUGGAAUGUUCACCGUUACGCGGCACGGUGUUAAAGUAGCAUAUCCAUGUUCAGAUCAUUGCCGUGUGUAUAAUAUAGUUAUGCUUGGUGUAUAUAUCAUUGUUAAUAUUGUAUAUUUGUUAUUUAUGUCAUUCUGUAGAAACCACGGUUCAAACACGGAUUAUAUCAGUCAGUUCACGGUCAUUUACGGUUCAAUCACAGUUCAUCGUCAUUCAUGUCCAUCCUGCCAUUCAAGGCUUGAGUGUGUGCAAUAAAUACUCCAUUACAUCUGUCAUCAUUGGGACAUUGACAUCAUUCUCGUUCUAACCGGACAGACCUGUGGCGAUUGUCACCCUUUUCACAACUAGCAAUACAGUCCUUUUUGGGGUUUAUUCAAUUCAUCAUCCCCCUAUUUUAUACCUUCCAUUGGGGGAACGUGUGGAUGACACGGUGAGGGAAGAGAGUUCUCCCAAUGAGGUUAUAGGCGUUACAGAGCUCCAGCAGCCAUUUUCUGUUGUCGCACAGGGUUCCACAGCCCUCUCU
rnacentral:lncRNA from 1 species